rnacentral:rRNA from 1 species
GAAGAAGCUUGCUUCUUUGCUGACGAGUGGCGGACGGGUGAGUAAUGUCUGGGAAACUGCCUGAUGGAGGGGGAUAACUACUGGAAACGGUAGCUAAUACCGCAUAACGUCGCAAGACCAAAGAGGGGGACCUUCGGGCCUCUUGCCAUCGGAUGUGCCCAGAUGGGAUUAGCUAGUAGGUGGGGUAACGGCUCACCUAGGCGACGAUCCCUAGCUGGUCUGAGAGGAUGACCAGCCACACUGGAACUGAGACACGGUCCAGACUCCUACGGGAGGCAGCAGUGGGGAAUAUUGCACAAUGGGCGCAAGCCUGAUGCAGCCAUGCCGCGUGUAUGAAGAAGGCCUUCGGGUUGUAAAGUACUUUCAGCGGGGAGGAAGGGAGUAAAGUUAAUACCUUUGCUCAUUGACGUUACCCGCAGAAGAAGCACCGGCUAACUCCGUGCCAGCAGCCGCGGUAAUAGCGGAGGGGUGCAAGCGUUAAUCGGAAUUAUCUGGGGCGUAAAGGCGCACGCAGGGCGGUUUGUUAAGUCAGAUGUGAAAUCCCCGGGCUCAACCUG